CGCCCCCAAAAAAAAAAAAACAUUGUUAACAUUGUUUAUUCAGUUUUGAUACUCAGCCUUCCUAAUUCACUUAACCCAUAAUGGUCUCUUUCUCGCCGGUUAUUAAACUGUGCGUUGGGCUGGCUUGCUGCUGAGGGAUGCAGAAUUGAGCCCACCUUGGCUGAUGAGUGAUUAGGUCUCAGGUGGGCGGGGCUGCUCUCAUUAGAGCAGAGGAUGCUGACCGUGUCCCGGCACUCCUGGGGGUGGAUGGUGGAGCCCCAGUUCUGCCCCUCCCAGCCACCCCUCCCUGCCCAGAGCCCCUUCACAUCCCAUGCAUGGUCCUUCUGCCUGUCACCUCUGCCCACCGGGAUUAAUAGCGUGGCUCUUGGAGCCUGCGGUGUGCUAGCCAUCACCCCUGGGGGCGUAAGCGCUUUGGAAGGUGUCCGCGGCGGCCCCACUGUGGAGAGGAACCCCCAAAGCUGUUUCUAGAAGCCAGGGCUGCAGCCUGUGGGGUACAGGCCAAUCGGGGAGCUGCAGGGACCCUUCCUAGCCAAUGGCCCUGAGAGAAGAGGCAGUGGAGCCCCCCCUCCCACAGUGAAGUCACGGGUGGUCCCUACGACAGGACCAGACCCUGAGACAUCGCCCCUCGGUGAGCCUAUCUGUCAGCCUCUGGUCUGUGCCCUGGGACCUCUCUCCAAAAGCCCAGGCAGCAGGGGCCGUGGCUCAUGGCUGGUCCCCCAGGGAGGGGCUGCCCAGGUCCCUGCACCUUGAAAGUCCGACGCAGCCAUCUUAGGGAGAAGGAGCGUGUCCUUCGGGGCCCUCCCCCACGCCCUCGCUGUACCACAGGCCCCGCACAGUCGGGCAUCCUGGUGGACCGCGAGGUGGUCAGCCUCUUCCUGCACUUCACCGUCAACCCCAAGCCGCGGGUGGAGUUCAUUGACCGGCCCCGCUGCUGCCUGCGGGGGAAGGAGUGCAGCAUCAACCGCUUCCAGCAGGUGGAGAGUCGCUGGGGCUACAGCGGAACCAGCGACCGCAUCAGGUGGGGCUUGGGGUGCAGGUGGGGGGCGCCAGGCAUGGGGGUGGAGGACUCAGGGAUGACGGAGGCGGGGGGAGGACGAGCAUGAGGUGGAGGACUCGGGGAUGACGGAGGCGGGGGAGGACGGGCAUGAGGUGGAGGACUCAGGGAUGA